rnacentral:rRNA from 1 species
AGCUGCGAUAAAUAGUGCGAAUUGCAGACGCAUUGAGCACAAAGAUUUCGAAUGCACAUUGCACCAUUGGGUUGAUUCCCGAUGGUACGUCUGGUUGAGGGU